AGAACGAACGCUGGCGGCAGGCUUAACACAUGCAAGUCGAACGCAUCCUUCGGGGUGAGUGGCAGACGGGUGAGUAACGCGUGGGAACAUGCCCUUCAGUUCGGAAUAACCCAGGGAAACUUGGGCUAAUACCGGAUACGUGCGAGAGCAGAAAGAUUUAUCGCUGAAGGAGUGGCCCGCGUCUGAUUAGCUAGUUGGUGAGGUAAAGGCUCACCAAGGCGACGAUCAGUAGCUGGUCUGAGAGGAUGAUCAGCCACACUGGGACUGAGACACGGCCCAGACUCCGUACGGAGGC
rnacentral:rRNA from 1 species